CUGCCCCUAACUGGGAGAUAGCCCUCCGAAAGGAGGAUUAAUACCCCAUAAUAUCAUUGUCAGGCAUCUGAUGAUGAUUAAAGCUCCGGCGGUUAGGGAUGAAUAUGCGUCUCAUUAGCUUGUUGGUGAGGUAACGGCUCACCAAGGCGACGAUGAGUAGCUGGUCUGAGAGGAUGAUCAGUCACACGGGCACUGAGACACGGGCCCG
rnacentral:rRNA from 1 species